rnacentral:rRNA from 1 species
CUACGGGAUGCUCCAGUGGGGAAUAUUGGGCAAUGGGCGCAAGCCUGACCCAGCAACGCCGCGUGAGGGAAGAAGGUUUUCGGAUUGUAAACCUCUGUCCUUGGGGACGAAGAAGUGACGGUACCCAAGGAGGAAGCUCCGGCUAACUACGUGCCAGCAGCCGCGGUAAUACGUAGGGAGCAAGCGUUGUCCGGAAUUACUUGGCGUAAAGGGUGCGUAGGCGGCAUAUUAAGUCAGGUGUGAAAUACUCGGGCUCAACCCGGGGGCUGCAUUUGAACCUGGUAUGCUUGAGUGUGAGAGAGGAAAGUGGAAUUCCUAGUGUAGCGGUGGAAUGCGUAGAUAUUAGGAGGAACACCAGUGGCGAAGGCGACUUUCUGGCUCAUAACUGACGCUGAGGCACGAAAGCGUGGGGAGCAAACAGGAUUAGAUACCCGCGUAGUC